CAUACAUACAUACAUACAGACACAGUUCGUAAAUAAGGUUAUACUUUAUAAUACGGAUCCAAAAUGUUCACGAGAAUAGAAGGUAUAGUCGUAUACAAUCGGUUAUCGAUUAUCGGUUCGAACUAAACAUGACAAUGAAAAAUAUCUACUACUGUAAAAUUAAACUAUGAAAAUACUGUUUGCGUGACUAUAUCAUGAAUCACGCGAUCGCACGAAUACGCAAUAACUAUCAAUAAAUGAACUAUAUCAUACCCUAACAUGCAUUAACUAAACAUAAGUGAAUAUUUCAACUGAAUAUACAAUAACUAAAUCAUUUAACAACAUAUAGAACUUACGAUUGCAACUGUACAAAAGAAAGGUCAAAUGUGUACUCACAUUGGUUUACACGCGCACCAAUGACUUUAACUUUGGCUUGAAAACCACUGCGAGUACGUAGAAUACAAUGUGGAUAGAAAUAAUUUACCAGCAGCUAUCACGAUAGCGUCCACAGAUACAAAACUUUGCCCUUACACGACAGAACGUACUGGAGGAUUGACCUUCCUUGAGUCACGCAAGUUACGCAACUAUAACUAAAAACUCUAUCCCGUAGGCGCAACUAGAUUGACAAGCUCUGAUUGACAUUAGAUAAGCUGCAUAAUUUGCGUCGCAUUAAGGUGAUGACGCUUACAAUACAUUCGCGUUUUAAAACUAACAGGAUGAACCAUUAUAUAAUGCCACAUACUUUAUCAGAUAUAAAGUCACUCCACGCGACAUAUUAUGGCUGACAUGAUUUGCCACAAGGUUUAUGAAUUAUUAAUGAGUAUUUUAAAU